rnacentral:tRNA from 1 species
GAGAGAGGCCCGACGGCAAUGAAGACUGCUAAUCUUCCAUCCCCAAGGUUAAACCCCUUGGCUCCCUCG